UAGAGUUUGAUCCUGGCUCAGAUUCCUCGCUGGCGGCAGGCCUAACACAUGCAAGUCGAGCGGCAGCGGGAAAGUAGCUUGCUACUUUUGCCGGCGAGCGGCGGACGGGUGAGUAAUGCCUGGGGAUCUGCCCAGUCGAGGGGGAUAACUACUGGAAACGGUAGCUAAUACCGCAUACGCCCUACGGGGGAAAGCAGGGGACCUUCGGGCCUUGCGCGAUUGGAUGAACCCAGGUGGGAUUAGCUAGUUGGUGAGGUAACGGCUCACCAAGGCGACGAUCCCUAGCUGGUCUGAGAGGAUGAUCAGCCACACUGGAACUGAGACACGGUCCAGACUCCUACGGGAGGCAGCAGUGGGGAAUAUUGCACAAUGGGGGAAACCCUGAUGCAGCCAUGCCGCGUGUGUGAAGAAGGCCUUCGGGUUGUAAAGCACUUUCAGCGAGGAGGAAAGGUCAGUAGCUAAUAUCUGCUGGCUGUGACGUUACUCGCAGAAAAACCACCGGCUAACUCCGUGCCACCAGCCGCGGUAAUACGGAGGGUGCAAGCUUUAAUUUGAAUUACUGGGCGUAAAGCGCACGCAGGCGGUUGGUUAAGUUAGAUGUGAAAGCCCCGGGCUCAACCUGGGAAUUGCAUUUAAAACUGUCCAGCUAGAGUCUUGUAGAGGGGGGUAGAAUUCCAGGUGUAGCGGUGAAAUGCGUAGAGAUCUGGCGGAAAGAAGGUGGCGAAGGCGGCCCCCUGGACAAAGACUGACGCUCAGGUGCGCAAGCGUGGGGAGCAAA
rnacentral:rRNA from 1 species